UACGGGGGGGGUAAGCGUUGUUCGGAAUUACUGGGCGUAAAGGGCUCGUAGGCGGCCAACUAAGUCAGACGUGAAAUCCCUCGGCUUAACCGGGGAACUGCGUCUGAUACUGGAUGGCUUGAGUUUGGGAGAGGGACGCGGAAUUCCAGGUGUAGCGGUGAAAUGCGUAGAUAUCUGGAGGAAUACCGGUGGCGAAGGCGGCGUCCUGGACCAACACUGACACUGAUGAGCGAAAGCCGAGGGAGCAAACGGG
rnacentral:rRNA from 1 species